rfam:Candidatus Saccharimonas aalborgensis, complete genome.
GGGGCUGACUAAGCUUUCGACGUGAGGACUUUAACAGGCUAUUUCGGCAUACCGACCUCUGACGUAAUCAGAAUCAAUAAUUGCAAACAAUUUCUUUGCAAGGCUGUUUGCGCCCCUCAAGGCACAACCAGUACUCGCUUAACAACAUGUUAAGCCACGCAUUGCUUGAUAUCUACUGAAGCUAAUGUCGUGUUAUAUAUCGUAGAAUCGGUAGAAGCUGCUUUUACGACAGUUUCUAUUUAAACUCUUCGUAAAUCACCGUGUUUGCAUCUGCGUCGUACUUUAAGCAAAUAAUGUGAUUAAACAAAGUUGAGUAUGACUAUGUAUGUAGAUGAAUAGCAAGUUACCUUGCGGACCCGGGGGCAGUGCCCGGCAGCUCCACCA